rnacentral:rRNA from 1 species
AGCAGCCGCGGUAAUUCCAGCUUCAAUAGCGUAUAUUAAAGUUGUUGCAGUUAAAAAGCUCGUAGUUGAAUUUCGGGAUCAGUAUGUUGGUCGUGCUUCGGUACGUACUGUCAUUAAUGGUUUCUACCUUCUGAAGAACCUUGAUGUCAUUAAUUUGGUGUCUUGGGGAAUCAGGACUGUUACUUUGAAAAAAUUAGAGUGUUUAAAGCAAGCAUACGCUUGAAUGCAUUAGCAUGGAAUAAUGAAAUAGGACGUUUGAUUCUAUUUUGUUGGUUUCUAGGAUCGACGUAAUGAUUAAUAGGGAUAGUUGGGGGCAUUAGUAUUCAAUUGUCAGAGGUGAAAUCCUUGGAUUUAUUGAAGACUAACUACUGCGAAAG